AUUGCAGUGUAUUUAAAUACUUACCAAUCCUCUAGAAAAGCACAACCUCUCCUAGAGCUUCAGAAUUGCAGCUUCUCUGACUGGACUCGCCCAAAUAUGAAGAUCCCUCUUUUUGCCUUUUUAAUGGCUCUUUUGGUUGCCAUGAUUGGUGCUGAUUCAUCUGAAGAGAGAAGGUAUUACCGAGCUUCAUAUCUGCCAUAUCAACCACAGCCAUAUCCACCAAAUCAUCCUCAUCGUCUUCCUUAUCAGGAGGCAUAAAGUGCCUCUCAGUAAGCACAGAACAUGAUCACAGAGGCUUAGUGACAAGUUCUAUUUGGCUGGUCCUCAUGAUGAUUCUUCUCAGUCUUCCUCAUAUCUACAAAUCUCAGCCCUCAGGGAAAAAAAAGAAAGAAAAAAAAUUCAGUCAAUACUGUUAGAUGAAUAUCACAUACCUGAGAUCAAAUAUCAAUACUUUUAAAACCAUAGUAAAAAUAUUCUUUGAAGUAUUUGAUUGCUUUCUACUUCUUCUAUGUGUUAAAGGGUUAAAAUUAAAAAAAAAAAAAACUUACCAUGCAUAAUAAAUUGAUCUUUCAAGCAUA